rnacentral:lncRNA from 1 species
CUGGGCUGCUGAAGUGGAAUGUGAGAACUUAACCACUACACCAUCAGGCCAGCCCUUCAACAACUCUUAACAAAUCUUUGUAAUCUACAAGGAACAAGAAAGCUGAGCGCUCCCUUUACACCACACUCUGAAUUAAGUAAGCCACCACAGUCCUUCGGUUCUAACGCAGCACUUCCACGGCUCCUGGAAAGACUAAUGAAGCCCAAGCAUAUUCAUGACAGUUCAAAAGAAGUCCCAUGAGCCCACUUACACUCCUUAUGCAGCACGCGUUUUUCAAAGGUUGACUUAUUUUUAGUGCAUGGCACUGGCUCUCUUUCAAAGGCUCUGUAUUA